GUAGGUGGCAAGCGUUGUCCGGAAUUAUUGGGCGUAAAGCGCGCGCAGGCGGUCCUUUAAGUCUGAUGUGAAAGCCCACGGCUCAACCGUGGAGGGUCAUUGGAAACUGGGGGACUUGAGUACAGAAGAGGAAAGCGGAAUUCCAAGUGUAGCGGUGAAAUGCGUAGAGAUUUGGAGGAACACCAGUGGCGAAGGCGGCUUUCUGGUCUGUAACUGACGCUGAGGCGCGAAAGCGUGGGGAGCAAACAGGGAUUAGAUACCCUGGUAGUCCACGCCGUAAACGAUGAGUGCUAAGUGUUAGGGGGGUUUCCGCCCCCGUUAGUGCUGCAGCUAACGCAUUAAGCACUCCGCCUGGGGAGUACGGCCGCAAGGCUG
rnacentral:rRNA from 1 species